rnacentral:rRNA from 1 species
UACGUAGGUGACAAGCGUUGUCCGGAUUUACUGGGCGUAAAGAGCGCGCAGGCGGUCCGAUGCGUCGUGCGUGAAAGACCCCGGCUCAACUGGGGAGGGUCGUGCGAUACGGUCGGACUCGAGGCCAGUAGGGGGACGCGGAAUUCCGGGUGUAGUGGUGGAAUGCGUAGAGAUCCGGAGGAACACCAGCGGCGAAGGCGGCGUCCUGGACUGGUACUGACGCUCAGGAGCGAAAGCGUGGGGAGCGAUCCGG